CAUGUGACGAGUUUGAUCCUGGCUCAGGAUGAACGCUAGCGGCAGGCCUAAUACAUGCAAGUCAAGGGGAUAGCAAUAUCACCGGCGGACGGGUGCGUAACGCGUACACAACGUGCCCAAGGGCGGAGGAAAGCGGCGGGAAACUGCCGGUAAUACUCCAUGGUGUUGUUGAGUGGCAUCACUUAACAACUAAAGUACAAGCGCCCUUGGAUCGGUGUGCGUUCGAUUAGCUAGUUGGCGGGGUAACGGCCCACCAAGGCUUCGAUCGAUAGGGGGUGUGAGAGCAUGACCCCCCACACGGGUACUGAGACACGGACCCGACUCCUACGGGAGGCAGCAGUAAGGAAUAUUGGACAAUGGGCGGAAGCCUGAUCCAGCCAUGCCGCGUGAAGGACGAAGGCGCUCAGCGUUGUAAACUUCUUUUGGAUGGGAACAAUAACUCCGACUUGUCGGAACUUGAGGGUACCAUCAGAAUAAGCACCGGCUAACUCCGUG
rnacentral:rRNA from 1 species